UGGAGAAUCACUAAGAUGGCAUUUCGUCAU
rnacentral:piRNA from 1 species